rnacentral:tRNA from 1 species
AGGGUUGUGGUUCAGUGGUAGAGUGCUCACCUAGCAUGUGUGAGGCCCUGGGUUCGAUCCUCAGCACCACAU